AUGAACAGCAGAGUUUUUCAAGCAAGAAGAGCAAGCCUGAAAUCAGGAGUAUUUCCUUUAAAGUGGCUGAUACUUCCCCCUCUGAACGGCAGCUAAUAAAAAAUCAACUUUAAAGCUGGGCUGGGUGGUGCAGGCCUGUGACUCCAGCAACUCAGGAAACUGAGAGAUUUAAUGGCUCUGCUAUACCGCACAGUGUGCACAUAUCAGUGAGACAUGUGACUUCAUCCAGAGUGUGGGACAACAGGGCGUGGGUCACAGACCCUGUGGCAUCUUUCAAGGGGACACCAUCUUCCCAAGCUUGUCUCAAGCCACUACCACUCCACGAAUGUGAACUUCCCAGCCCCUGCAUUUCUUCCUGUCGGACUGUAACUAAAAGCCCACGAAGCUCCCAAUGAGGAAGGCUCUACCUGCCAGCCCAAGGCUGGGGGACAAAGCUACUGAGGAGGUCAUUCCAGCGGUGUGACAAAGAUGACGGCUCAGUAAAGGCUCAGGGCAACUGAGUGGCCACCGGAAUAACAUGGCAAGCCUUGUAAGUGGAUGAAGAACACCGGAGCAGAUCAGAAGAGAACAUGGGUCAUGGGUCAUGGCUAUAGACUGGGCAAAUCUUUCUAAACACAGAAACAGGAGUCAGAUCAUUACAUUUACCUAUAAAAGAUCAAAAUUUCUUUGUGGCAAAA